UACGGAGGGUGCAAGCGUUAUCCGGAUUCACUGGGUUUAAAGGGUGCGUAGGCGGGUAUAUAAGUCAGUGGUGAAAGCUCCGGGCUUAACUUGGAAACUGCCAUUGAUACUGUAUAUCUUGAAUGUCGUUGAGGUUAGCGGAAUGUUGCAUGUAGCGGUGAAAUGCUUAGAUAUGUUACAGAACACCAAUUGUGAAGACAGCUAACUAAGCGAUGAUUGACGCUGAGGCACGAAAGCGUGGGGAGCAAACAGG
rnacentral:rRNA from 2 species